rnacentral:rRNA from 1 species
UACGGGGGGGGCAAGCGUUGUUCGGAAUUACUGGGCGUAAAGGGCUCGUAGGUGGCCAACUAAGUCAGACGUGAAAUCCCUCGGCUUAACCGGGGAACUGCGUCUGAUACUGGAUGGCUUGAGUUCGGGAGAGGGAUGCGGAAUUCCAGGUGUAGCGGUGAAAUGCGUAGAUAUCUGGAGGAACACCGGUGGCGAAGGCGGCAUCCUGGACCGACACUGACGCUGAGGAGCGAAAGCGUGGGGAGCGAAUAGG